rnacentral:rRNA from 1 species
UACGUAGGCAGCAAGCGUUGUUCGGAAUUACUGGGCGUAAAGCGUGCGCAGGCGGUGAUGUAAGACAGUUGUGAAAUCCCCGGGCUCAACCUGGGAACUGCAUCUGUGACUGCAUCGCUGGAGUGCGGCAGAGGGGGAUGGAAUUCCGCGUGUAGCAGUGAAAUGCGUAGAUAUGCGGAGGAACACCGAUGGCGAAGGCAAUCCCCUGGGCCUGCACUGACGCUCAUGCACGAAAGCGUGGGGAGCAAACAGG